AUAUAACUAUAAAAUAAAUAUUGCGACCCACGAACAUAUUUUGUUUAUUCUAAGCGCACACUCGUCUGCCGCUUUAAGUUCUCGAGCGCGUUACAGCAGGAUGGAUUCUGAUUGGCUGUCAAUUUUUUAUCGUUCAUCAGCUGGAGAAAAUCGUUUUGAAAGUGAUUCCAACGAUUUUCUUUGUCUUUAUCGUUAUAGUUGUGGUGUGGACGCUGCUGUUCUUUAAUACUGAAAACGAUUUUUAGAACUAUAUCUUUAUCGUUAUCUUUAUAGUUAUCGUCCUUGGUGUGAACGGGCCUUUAUGGGACAAAAACAAUGUUGAGUGUCUGGUUUAAAGUAAUUAAAGUAAUACAAUUAAGAUUAUCGCCGUGCUCGUAUCACACAGAACUCUUUCAUUAAGACGUGCCGAUCUAUACUAUAUAAUUCAUUAUGAUUUCUAACGAUUACAUCAAGUGUCACUUAAAAUCACAAAUCAUUCGAAUCAGUUCGCCGGUUUUUCAACCCCUGCAGUCCAGCCCAUGUCCAGAUCCGCGAACAGCACCUCUCGCCUUCAUUUCGUCCUGAGGCGAACUUCCCAUCUCACGGGAGAUUAGAUGCACUUUACACGAGCAGUCGAGAAAAAUGGCUUGUACCGUUGGCGGUCAGAUCAUACUGCAGUUAAACGUGGAGGAGGCAACGGAGGACAGCAGCCCGUCCCGGAGCAUCUCCAGCCGGCGGAGCAGAACCUCAUUCUCCCCGUUCAGCGCGAGGAAACAUCAGAGCCUAGUUUGGAGUCGGCGAUGAUGACCUCACCCCACCUCACUGUCCAUGAAACUGAUUUGGAGGUUUCAGCUGAAGGGAACAUGUGAAACUAGAUGUUGGUCUCGAUUCCAAGCACUUUGAGUUAUAUAUAUAUGUAUGUAUGUAUGUAUGUAUGUAUUUAUAUUAGGGCUGUCAAUCGAUUAAAUUUUUAAUCUAAUUAAUCACAUCCUUUUUCUGUGAUUAAUCGCACACUUCAUGAAAUUAAGCAUAGACCAUUUAUCUUGUUUCAAAUGUUUAUUUGGUCAUCAUUUGCUAUAUCCAACAAAAUAAACCAAAAGAUUGAAGGGUGAUUCUCAAAAAUCUGUAUUUUCUGCAAGCUUUUUUUCAAGAUAAAUUUAGAUGUCUUUCCAAAAAAGGACACUUAGAAACACCUCCUCAAACUCAUUUAAUAUGCAUAUAUAAACAUAUUUGUAUAUAAUUAUAUUAUUUAAAUAUGAAUAAACA
rnacentral:lncRNA from 12 species